rnacentral:rRNA from 1 species
UUGACCUCAAAUCGGGUGAGACUACCCGCUGAACUUAAGCAUAUCNNNNNNNNNNNNNNNNNNNNNNNNNNNNGAUUCCCNUAGUAACUGCGAGUGAAGCGGGAAAAGCUCAAAUUUAAAAUCUGGCGGUCUUUGGCCGUCCGAGUUGUAAUUUAGAGAAGCGUCUUCCGCGCCGGACCGUGCACAAGUCUCCUGGAAUGGAGCGUCAUAGAGGGUGAGAAUCCCGUCUUUGGCACGGAUGCCNGGUGCUUCUGUGAUGCGCUCUCGAAGAGUCGAGUUGUUUGGGAAUGCAGCUCAAAAUGGGUGGUGAACUCCAUCUAAAGCUAAAUAUUGGCGAGAGACCGAUAGCGAACAAGUACCGUGAGGGAAAGAUGAAAAGCACUUUGGAAAGAGAGUGAAACAGUACGUGAAAUUGUUGAAAGGGAAACGCUUGAAGUCAGUCGCGUCGACCGAGACUCAGCCUUGCCUCGGCUUGGUGUACUUCUCGGCCCGACGGGUCAGCGUCAAUUUUGCCCCUCGGAUAAUGGCAAGGGAAAGGUGGCACCUUUACGGGUGUGUUAUAGUCUCCUGUCGCAUGCGAGGGGUGGGAUUGAGGAACUCAGCGCGCACCUUGGUGUCGGGGCUUCGGCCCACGUCACGCGCUUAGGAUGCUGGCGUAAUGGCUUUAAACGACCCGUCUUGAAACACGGACCAAGGAGUCCAACACGCCCGCGAGUGUUCGGGUGGAAAACCCGUGCGCGUAAUGAAAGUGAAAGUUGGGACCUCUGUCGUGGAGGGCACCGACGCCCGGACCAGACCUUCUGUGACGGAUCUGCGGUAGAGCGUGUGUGUUGGGACCCGAAAGAUGGUGAACUAUGCCUGAAUAGGGUGAAGCCAGAGGAAACUCUGGUGGAGGCUCGUAGCGAUUCUGACGUGCAAAUCGAUCGUCAAAUUUGGGUAUAGGGGCGAAAGACUAAUCGA